rnacentral:rRNA from 1 species
UGGGGAAUCUUGCACAAUGGGGGCAACCCUGAUGCAGCGACGCCGCGUGAGCGAUGAAGCCCUUCGGGGCGUAAAGCUCUUUCGACCGGAACGAUAAUGACGGUACCGGGAGAAGAAGCUGCGGCUAACUACGUGCCAGCAGCCGCGGUAAUACGUAGGCAGCAAGCGUUGUUCGGAGUUACUGGGCGUAAAGAGUGCGUAGGCGGUUUUCUAAGUUCGGUGUGAAAUCUCCCGGCUUAACUGGGAGGGUGCGCCGAAGACUGGGAAGCUGGAGUGUGGGAAAGGCCGUCGGAAUUCCUGGUGUAGCGGUUAAAUGCGUAGAUAUCAGGAGGAACGCCGGCGGUGUAGACGGCUUGCUAGACCAUAACUGCCGCUGAGGCACGAAAGCGUGGGUAGCAAACA